ACAGUCUGAAAAUCACCUGCGGUCUCCCGUGGCCCCCGGUGAGAUAACCGUGCCGACAGCAUAGGGAACAUCAAAGCUUAUUGCCCACGGUGACAGUGUGUGGGGAGUGAAACCCAUGUUCCCAUAACC
rnacentral:snoRNA from 7 species